ACUUUAAUUGAAGAGUUUGAUCAUGGCUCAGAUUGAACGCUGGCGGCAGGCCUAACACAUGCAAGU
rnacentral:rRNA from 2 species